GAUGAACGCUGGCGGCGUGCCUAAUACAUGCAAGUCGAGCGAACAGAUAAGGAGCUUGCUCCUUUGACGUUAGCGGCGGACGGGUGAGUAACACGUGGGUAACCUACCUAUAAGACUGGAAUAACUCCGGGAAACCGGGGCUAAUGCCGGAUAACAUUUAGAACCGCAUGGUUCUAAAGUGAAAGAUGGUUUUGCUAUCACUUAUAGAUGGACCCGCGCCGUAUUAGCUAGUUGGUAAGGUAACGGCUUACCAAGGCAACGAUACGUAGCCGACCUGAGAGGGUGAUCGGCCACACUGGAACUGAGACACGGUCCAGACUCCUACGGGAGGCAGCAGUAGGGAAUCUUCCGCAAUGGGCGAAAGCCUGACGGAGCAACGCCGCGUGAGUGAUGAAGGUAUUCGGAUCGUAAAACUCUGUUAUUAGGGAAGAACAAAUGUGUAAGUAACUGUGCACGUCUUGACGGUACCUAAUCAGAAAGCCACGGCUAACUACGUG
rnacentral:rRNA from 1 species